GUCCAGAAAUUUGUUUGAAAUUCAUAACGCUUCCAAUAAUAAAUCCUGAUUGCGCCAUCGGUAACAUUUAUAGUUGUAAACAAAAUCGACGAUUCGGUGCGGGCCGAUAUUUUAGCGACACACAUAGAUAUGUAUAACAAAGGUCCUGAAUUCAAAAUAUUCAAUCCUAUAUAUGGGACUGAUAUGACCGUGAUAAAUUGUAAAAAAUCUAUGACGACGUUGUAUUUCGUUAGCGACACGUAACGCGGGAUUUCCAUACGGCUUACGUGCGGUUUUUAAGAACCGUCCCCGCGGGACAAUAACGCGUACGGGAACACGAGUUCGUCAACGAAAACGUGCCUUAAACGGUUUUACUCGUCCGGAGUGCGGUUGUU